UCUGGGACCGCAGGAGAAAACCAUGAAAAACUUGUGUCUGAAAGAGAGGAUGUUAGAUGGUUUUAAGUAGUAAAUAUAUAUGUUUAGACUUGCACUUUAGUAAGAGGACUCUAAUUGCAUGGAAGAAAAUGGAUUGGAUGUAAACCAGAUUGGAAACAGGAAGUAUGCAUUGUCUGGCACAGGUGAUGGAUAACGUACUCUAUUUAAAACCUUGGAGCAAAAGAUGCUAGGAUGCUACAAAUCAUAGACCUUGUGAUGCUAUGGAAACAACCCUUCUGUGCCCUAGCCCUCGUGCUUCACCAACUGUGUGAACUUACGUCGUCUCCUUAAUCCUGAGUCUCCGCUUCUUACACAGAUAUAAUGGGAAGUCUGUACCAGAGAAAUUAGAACCUUAAUGAAUACAAGGAGAAAUCUAAUGAUAGGCAGGUGGAAGUAUUCUUGGCAGAGUGGAGGACAGAAGCAAGCACUGCGAGGUAGAAAUUUACCGGGGAUAUUAAUCAACAAGCUGAGCAAUGGAAAAUAAGUAUUCAAAAAGGAUUGUCAGAUUGACACGAGGACUAUCAUAUGGAAAUUCAAAUGAUGACUUUCAUUCCAUACAAAGCUCUUUGAAGAAAGCAUCUAUGGAAUUAUAGCAAAUAAGACUUACUAACACUUCACUAAAGAUUUAAGUUUACUCACCUAAUCAAACACAAUUGCUUAAUAGACAUAGACACCCCCACUAGGGCUUGACUUUUUAAAAUUUGCAUUGCAGAGUUAAAGAAUGCAUUUUCCCCCACCCUGCAGAA